rnacentral:rRNA from 1 species
UACGGAGGGUGCAAGCGUUGUUCGGAAUUAUUGGGCGUAAAGCGUGUCUAGGUGGGUGGAUAAGUUAGAUGUUAAAGAUCCAAGCUUAACUUGGGGAUUGCGUUUGAUACUGUCCAUCUUGAGUUAGGGAGGGAUGAGUGGAAUUCCUGGUGUAGCAGUGAAAUGCGUAGAGAUCAGGAGGAACACCGGUGGCGAAAGCGACUCAUUGGCCCUUAACUGACGCUCAAGCACGAAAGCGUGGGGAUCAAACAGG